rnacentral:tRNA from 1 species
CAUGAAGUGCCUGAUAAAAGGAUUACAGUGAUAGAGUAAAUUAUGUAAAAAUAUUUACCUUCAUUA